GCCCCCGUAGCUCAGGGGAUAGAGCGUCGGUUUCCUAAACCGCAGGUCGCAGGUUCGAAUCCUGCCGGGGGCA
rnacentral:tRNA from 1 species